rnacentral:rRNA from 1 species
AUGGAUUAAGAGCUUGCUCUUAUGAAGUUAGCGGCGGACGGGUGAGUAACACGUGGGUAACCUACCCAUAAGACUGGGAUAACUCCGGGAAACCGGGGCUAAUACCGGAUAAUAUUUUGAACUGCAUAGUUCGAAAUUGAAAGGCGGCUUCGGCUGUCACUUAUGGAUGGACCCGCGUCGCAUUAGCUAGUUGGUGAGGUAACGGCUCACCAAGGCGACGAUGCGUAGCCGACCUGAGAGGGUGAUCGGCCACACUGGGACUGAGACACGGCCCAGACUCCUACGGGAGGCAGCAGUAGGGAAUCUUCCGCAAUGGACGAAAGUCUGACGGAGCAACGCCGCGUGAGUGAUGAAGGCUUUCGGGUCGUAAAACUCUGUUGUUAGGGAAGAACAAGUGCUAGUUGAAUAAGCUGGCACCUUGACGGUACCUAACCAGAAAGCCACGGCUAACUACGUGCCAGCAGCCGCGGUAAUACGUAGGUGGCAAGCGUUAUCCGGAAUUAUUGGGCGUAAAGCGCGCGCAGGUGGUUUCUUAAGUCUGAUGUGAAAGCCCACGGCUCAACCGUGGAGGGUCAUUGGAAACUGGGAGACUUGAGUGCAGAAGAGGAAAGUGGAAUUCCAUGUGUAGCGGUGAAAUGCGUAGAGAUAUGGAGGAACACCAGUGGCGAAGGCGACUUUCUGGUCUGUA